rnacentral:rRNA from 1 species
CACGCCGUAAACGAUGGAUACUAGGUGUAGGGGGUAUCGACCCCCCCUGUGCCGGAGUUAACACAAUAAGUAUCCCACCUGGGGAGUACGGCCGCAAGGUUGAAACUCAAAGGAAUUGACGGGGGCCCGCACAAGCAGUGGAGUAUGUGGUUUAAUUCGACGCAACGCGAAGAACCUUACCAGGGCUUGACAUCCUCUGACGGCUGUAGAGAUACAGCUUCUCUUCGGAGCAGAGAGACAGGUGG